rnacentral:rRNA from 1 species
GGCAUCGGUGCCUUUGGGUCGCUUUGGAUUGAGGGAGUGGCUUCGGUCAUUACUCUUGAUCUUUAAGUGUUUUCCGAGGUAACACAGAGGGUGGAUAUCAACUUGCUAGAUAGAUUAGGUACUUCGGUAUUCUAGUUUGUUUAGACAAGGUUCAUCUUCUGUUGCGCCGGCCAUCCCUUGCAGGUGAGGCAGUUUACUGCUUCAACUUCUAUGUUAUACUUCGGUAUAUGCAUAGAAUGUCUGCAUCGUUUACUUUGAAAAAAUUAGAGUGUUUAAAGCAGGCACGUAGUGCAUUUGAAUACAUUAGCAUGGAAUAAUAAGAUAGGACUCUGGUAAAGGUUGAGGGGGGAUUUAUUCUCUCUUGAUCUUACACCUGUUUUGUUGGUUUUUAGGACUGGAGUA